rnacentral:rRNA from 1 species
UACAGAGGAUGCGAGCGUUAUCCGGAUUUAUUGGGUUUAAAGGGUGCGUAGGCGGACGCUUAAGUCAGCGGUAAAAUUGCGGGGCUCAACCUCGUCGAGCCGUUGAAACUGGGUGCCUUGAGUGGGCGAGAAGUACGCGGAAUGCGUGGUGUAGCGGUGAAAUGCAUAGAUAUCACGCAGAACUCCGAUUGCGAAGGCAGCGUACCGGCGCCCAACUGACGCUGAAGCACGAAGGCGUGGGUAUCGAACAGG